GGAGGCGCGACGCGUACCGGUGUACGCCGUGGCUUGAGAUCCCAUGGGGCGGCGAAAGCUGUCAGGGGUUCGACUCCCCCCGCCUCC
rnacentral:tRNA from 1 species